CUUUGUAGCGCUUACUCCACACA
rnacentral:siRNA from 1 species